rnacentral:rRNA from 1 species
GUGCCAGCAGCCGCGGUAAUACGGAGGAUCCGAGCGUUAUCCGGAUUUAUUGGGUUUAAAGGGUGCGCAGGCGGCUUUUUAAGUCAGUGGUUAAAUCGUGACGCUCAACGUCAUCACGCCAUUGAUACUGGAGAGCUUGAUUGCGGUCGAGGUUUGCGGAAUUCGUUGUGUAGCGGUGAAAUGCAUAGAUAUGACGAAGAACACCGAUUGCGUAGGCAGCAGACCAGGCCGUAAAUGACGCUCAUGCACGAAGGUGCGGGGAUCGAACAGGAUUAGAUACCCUGGUAGUCCGCACAGUAAACGAUGAAUACUUGUUUUUGGCGAUACAAUGUCAGAGGCAAAGCGAAAGCGAUAAGUAUUCCACCUGGGGAGUACGCCGGCAACGGUGUUACUCAAAGGAAUUGACGGGGGCCGGCACAAGCGGAGGAACAUGUGGUUUAAUUCGAUGCUACGCGAGGAACCUUACCCGGGCUUGAAAGUUAGUGACGAGCGCAGAGACGCGCUUUCCCUUCGGGGCACGAAACUAGGUGCUGCAUGGUUGUCGUCAGCUCGUGCCGUGAGGUGUCGGCUUAAGUGCCAUAACGAGCGCAACCCUUUUCCGUAGUUACCAUCAUUAAGUUGGGGACUCUACGGACACUGCCAUCGUAAGGUGUGAGGAAGGAUGGGAUGACGUCAAAUCAGCACGGCCCUUACGUCCGGGGCGACACACGUGUUACAAUGGGCAGGACAGCAAGGAACGAGGCGGCGACGCUGAGGGAAUCUCGAAACCUGCUCCCAGUUCGGAUCGGAGUCUGCAACCCGACUCCGUGAAGCUGGAUUCGCUAUAAUCGCGCAUCAGCCAUGGCGCGGUGAAUACGUUCCCGGGCCUUGUACACACCGCCCGU